CCUACGGGAGGCAGCAGUGGGGAAUAUUGCUCAAUGGAGGGAACUCUGAUGCAGCGACGCCGCGUGAGUGAAGAAGUAAUUCGUUAUGUAAAGCUCUAUCAGCAGGGAAGAAAGAGACGGUACCUGAAAAAGAAGCUCCGGCUAAAAACGUGCCAGCAGCCGCGGUAAUACGUAUGGAGCAAGCGUUAUCCGGAUUUAACGGGUGUAAAGGGAGUGUAGGUGGCAGAGCAAGUCCGAAGUGAAAACCUAAAGUUCAACCAUUGGAUUGCUUUAGAAACUGCACAGCUAGAGUGCAGGAGAGGUAAGUGGAAUUCUUAGUGUAGCGGUGAAAUGCGUAGAUAUAAGGUAGAACACC
rnacentral:rRNA from 1 species